rnacentral:rRNA from 1 species
GACAGAGGGUGCAAGCGUUACUCGGAAUCACUGGGCGUAAAGGGCGCGUAGGCGGCCUAGCAAGUCUGGUGUGAAAGCCCAGGGCUCAACCCUGGAAGGGCACUGGAGACUGUUAGGCUUGAGUUCCGGAGAGGAGGGGGGAAUUCCCGGUGUAGCGGUGAAAUGCGUAGAUAUCGGGAGGAAUACCGGUGGCGAAGGCGCCCCUCUGGACGGAAACUGACGCUGAGGCGCGAAAGCGUGGGGAGCAAACAGG